rnacentral:lncRNA from 1 species
CCAGGCCUGCCCAUGCCAGGCAGUGGCUCUACCACUGAGCCACAUCCCAGCCCACAGACGCACCUCUUUAAGUCUCCACCACCUCCAAUAGCCCCAUGGGUUGGGGACCAAGCUUCUAACACAUGGACCAUUGGGGGACACUUAAGAUCCAAACUAAUAGGCCAGGAGAAGAGUGGGGCUCCUCUGGCUAGGGCCUUGGCCUCAGGAAGGAGGCGCUAUCCCAAGGGCCUGGGCUGCUCAGGAGGGAAUUUCGCAAGCAGGGUUGGGGCAUGGGAGGGGAUAGCAGGUCAGCCCUUCUCUUCAGAGGGACCCAGGGAGGCUAGAGUAGAAGAGCAUGGCUUUGUGAUAGACUGAGCAAGAGACUGAAGUGGACUAGGGUAGAUUGGAGGCAAAUGGACGCCUCGGGGAAAAACAGUUUGCCGGACUUGGCUAAGGCUAGCUAACGUGAUGGGGAGGCCAAGGGUGGGUCUGAGGUUUCUGGCUUCCACACCUGGGUGGUUAGUCAUGCUGAGCACUCAGCUAGGGUGCCAAGGGUUGGGGAGGGCGAGCAGUAGCAGGCUGGCUAGGUGUGUGUACCUUUGGUACAUUCAAGAGAUGUCAAGCAGGUAGCUGUAUGUAAAAUAUCUUGAACAUUGGAAUAAAAGUAAAUUUUGAAAACAUCUG